UGUGGUCCGAGAAAUUUUAGGAGCUGGCAGUAUGCGGGAAGGGAGCGGGUGUGGAAAGGCGUUUCUCCUCUGCCCGCGGGUCCCGGGCCUCUUUCUUAUGGUAAUGAGGGCCGGGGCGGAGCGGCCUCGUGGCUGCAGUGCCCUCCCUCCUCCCGCGCGCGAUCGCGGAGUCCACGGGCUCGGGCCUCUGGGAGAGAGCUGGUGGAGCAGACAAAGCCCGCGGCCGCUACAGUGGGAGGAGCAGGUCUCUGCGCUGUGUGGGGGCCAGGAAGGGGCGUUCGGUUGGGGGUGGGACCCCCGGUAGAGGAUGUGGUUCCCUCUCUUCUCGGAGGUAGCAAGCCCUUCCCCCUCCCCCAGCCCCCCAGUUCCGGGAUCUCAGAGGCCACGACUGGGAGGAACCUGGACUUGGGCGCUGGGAGUUUCUUUGGAGAAAGUUUCUACUGGAGACCAGGUGACGGUGGGGCUAACAGCUGUUUGCAGCUUUCCUGUCCUCACUGAAACCAGAUUCCCCCCAGAGUUUGCCCCAUCUCUGAUUUCCUCCUCACUAAACCAAUUAAGGCAGGAGGUUAAUGACCAAAAAAGCCUUGGGGAUUUGAUCGGGGAGGAAAACAAAGGGCAGAAUCUAUGAGUGGAGAGAGGAUGCUGCUGAAAGGGAAAGGGACAGACUGAAGGUGGAGCGGGCAGGGUGGCACCCCACUGGAAUCUCCCCCCACCCCCCCACCCCACCCCAUACAACAAAGAUACACCAGUCCUCAGGGGAUCUUAGCACCCCCCACUCAAAGUCACACUGAGACUCCAGACCUCCUCCAAGGCAGAAGAGAGCCCAUGUGAGCCUAGCUCUUGGAGGGCAAGGUGUGUGUGAAGGACUCAGGUGUACCCACAGAACAGGCGUGUGCUGAGAUGAUGGAUGCACGGUUGCUGUGGGGGCGAGGGAACGGCUCUUGUUCCUGAGGCUCAGGCCUCCUUUGUUCAGGCUAAUGCCACUCCGUCUGGGCUGCUGUGCACAUGGGCCCAGCUCUGCUUCCCUUCCCUGGUGUCCCUGCACACCUAGGGCUAAGGACAGAUGCCUGAUAAGCCACUCCCUCCAUUCUGCCAAAGAGUGUGGAGGGUGUGUUUUGGUCCCCUUGGGACUCUGAGGAUGUCUGUCUGUCUCUCUAUCUGUACAUCUCUGCCUCUGCGUGUGUGUCUCUUCGUUCCUGUCUCUCUCUUCCUUGCCCUCUCCUACCCUCCUCUCCUCUCCCAACUCCUGUUUUCUGCUGAGGAAUCCAAGGACCCUGAUGAGUUGUUGAAUUGGCUGUGGGCACUGAAUACUUCUGUGUGUUUGUGUGUUUAUGCAUGCAUGGGUGCAGGGCAGGAAAGGUGACCCAGGCCUGAGGAUAGGAAUGUGGGGAAGUCCAUAUUGGGAGACCCAUUUCCCUGUCUGCUCCAAGCACUCUUGAGUGCCUGUUUUCAGCUGUCCACACAGUGACUACCAAAGUAGAAGGAUACACCUAACUCCAGUGCCCUGGGAAGGGAGGGAGACAUGAGAGGCUGUCACCAAGUCCCAUCAAGCAGGUUGGCCUUGGUUUUUCAUCCCCUGCCCCUGUUACUCUGCCCCUCACAGGCUGCCUCGGUCUCUCCUUGUCAGUUCAGCCUCCCUCAUGCUUACGAGGUUUCCCUGGCCUUUUUGGGUUUUUUCUUUUUCUUUUUCUGUUUUUGUUUUUGUUUUUGUUUUUUCGAGACAGAGUUUCUCUGUGUAGCCCUGGCUGUCCUGGAACUCACUCUAUAGACCAGGCUGACCUCGAACUCAGAAAUCUGCCUCCCAAGUACUGGAAUUAAAGGCGUGCACCGCCACCAUCGCCGGGCGCCUUUUUGUUUUUUAACUAAAUUGUACUUCAUUUAUAUAUUACGGGUGUGCACCCGCUGCAGCACUCCCACAUGAAGGUCAGAGAACAACUUGUGGGAACAGGUUCUGUCUUCCACCACGUGAGUGAGUCCUGUGGACUGAAUUCAGAGGGUCAGGUUUGGUAGCAAGUCCCUUUAUCUUGACGGCCGCCUUUUUUGCCUUUUUUCCCUUUUCAUUUUCUUUCUUUCUUUCUUUCUUUCUUUCUUUCUUUCUUUCUCUUUUUCCUUCCUUCCUUCCUUCCUUUCUUCUUUCUUCCUUUCUUUCUUUCUUUCUUUCUUUCUUUCUUUCUUUCUUUUCUUGGUAGGGUCUCCCAUAACCCAGGCUGGCCUGAAACACAUUAUGUAAUUAAUCUAGUAGCUGAGCCUGGCCUUGAACUCCAGUCUCCAUCUCAUAACUACUGGUAUUGCAUGUGUGUGCCACCACACCUGGCCUAUUUUCCUUUUUUAAUACCUCAUGUUGGAAGUACAGCUGGAUGUCUAGCCUCUGCUUUUCUUGCUGAAUGUGCAGCCAGUUUUCCCUCUUAGGCUGAAGUGUGCUGGAGUUUAGAACAGUUUUCAGUGUGUUUUGUGUGUACAUGCAUGUGAGUGAGUGUGUGUGUGUGUGUGCACAUGCAUACGCAAAUGUGCCAUAACACACAUGUGAAAGGCAAAGGACAACUUGAGGCAAUCCUAGGGAUUAAAUUCUAGGGGUCCACAGACUUGGGGGCCAGGUCCUUUAUCCAUGAGCCUUCUUGCCUGCCUUCAACUUAGUUCAGCUAAUAAGAAUAUAUUGGGUAAGAGUAUGCAGCCUGUGAAAGGAUCCCAGACCUGAUCCCUGCUCUCAUGGAGACUCAGGGUACUGGCCCACAUGGCCAAGAUAAUAAGUGGGGGCUAAACCAUCUUUGGGGCUUGGAGAGCCACCAAGGCAGGAGGGGUGGGUGGCUGGCCCUUUGUGUCUCAGCCUGGCCUCCAAGCCCUUUGCAGCCCCAGGCUUAGACCUAAACAGACAGCAGAUCCCACAGCCAGAUCCGCUGCACUAUCCAUGACUCCCCCCAGGGGAAGCAAGUCUGAGGGGCUGGGCUGGAGCCUGGGCCCCACAGGACAGCUGGCUAACAAGGCCCCUCUGGGACUCUGGUCUGGGCCCAGGCAUUCAGGAGGCCGUGAUACUGGAGCUGUGACAGUUGGUCCUUAGAUUUCCCCACCCAGUGGCGCCAGCUCUGGUUUCUGGCUGGGUGGGGGAGGGGAUUCGUUGCCCUCCUGGGACAGGGAGGCAAUAGGCAUGGCCCCUCGAGAGUGUCCCUGUGAGGAUGGGUCCUCCCUGGGGCCGAGCGCUAGAUUGGGUGUGAGAGUGCACGAAGUGGAACAUUAUGUGCAGGAGGUCAGAGCAGGAGUAGAAGCCAAGUGAGGCUUAACCCUGCCCGGUAGCCUCGAUCGCAGGGACACGCAGUCCAGAGACUCAGGUCGAUGACUCUUCUGCCUUCGAUACCAUCCUGUUUCCUUUUCAGAAAAGGGAAGAGGAUAUCAGAGAGGGAGUGAGGGAGGACCUACCAUUUCUGAAGGCUCUCUUCUUACAUCUUCAGACUUUAUAUCCAACCAUACAGUAUUAUUUCAUUACAUGUAUUCAGUGCUUGUGUGUACCAUAUCCUGAGUCGAGAUCUGAGAUUCUCCUUUUUAAUAAUAUGUUUAUUUUACAUACAUUUUACUUGGGAUGUGUAUCUGUGUAAGGGUUGUCAGAUGCUCUGGAACUAAAAUUACAAGACAGUUGUGAGCUGCCAUGUGGGAGCUGGGAAUUGAAGCCAGGUCCGCUGGAAGAACAGUUGGUGUUCUUUUUUUUUUUUUUUUUGUAUUUUUCCCUGAGACGGGGUGUCUCUGUAUAGCCCUGGCUGUCCACCUGCCUCUGCCUCCCAAGCGCUGGGAUUAAAGGUGUGCACCACCACUGCCCGUCCAGUCGGUGCUCUUAACUGCUGAGCCAACUCUGUCUAGCCUAGAGGUUCUCUCCCUCUAUCAUGAAGGUUCUAGGGAACUCAAGGCCUCCGGCUUGGCAGCAAGCACCUUUAUCUGUUGAGCCAUCUCACCUGACCUUUCGAAUGAUUCAAUCUUCAUAAUUCCAUGGAAAUGUAAUUUCUACCAGUUCUUGACAUAAGAAACCUGAGGCUCAGUGAUGUUAAAUAAUUUUCCCAGGUUACACAGCUGCUAAGUGGAAACUGCACAGAGAGAGAGAGAGAGAGAGAGAGAGAGAGAGAGAGAGAGAGAGAGAGACACUCCUGGUUCCCCAGAGGUGGGCAGUGACAUUAAGGGCUUGGAGACUUCCAAGGGGUGAGUAGUUUGGGGAGGCUUCCUGGCUGAGGUGGGUCCGUUGGCAUCAUUAAAAAAGAAAUAAGGUUCGUGGGAAGGGAGAGACUUGGGAGUGUUUCUGGAGGUUGUGUGGGAAGUAACUAGGGAGGCUUGCGAGUUAGGCAUUCUGGAGAGCAAUGGGUACGUGUGGCCACCAGGUGGCGCCGCAGGACUCCUUUGCCUCCCAUUGGUCUGGAGGGCCAGGGCUCAAGUCUGACUCCUUGUGGACCCGGUGCUCCAUGCUCAGCCCUGCACAGUUCAGGCACCCAGCCGGCCCUCCGGUUUUUGGCAUGGCAUCUAACACGUGGAAGACAGGAAAUCUUGAUACCAGUCUAUUCCAGAUUCAGAAUGGAAACCCAAAAUAGAGCCCCCCUCCCCAAACAGCAUACUCUGCCUUCCUGUCCUGUGCCUUCCUGAGUCCCUUAGAGAUACUGUUUAGGGAAAUUGUUAAGGAUACAAGCAUUGUGUGCAGCUGGCUGUGUCUGCAUGGAAAUAAUAAUUACCUAAUAAAGAUGUAAAAGUUUUCAUCCGGUGA